UUAAAGUCGACGGAUUUUCCUCUUACUAUAAAUUUCAUUGUUGCCGAUAUCCCCUUCCUUUUUUCUUUUGUUUUGAGAUUAAGAU
rnacentral:tRNA from 1 species